GAAAGUCCGACGAUACAGGGUGAUAGUCCCGUAGUUGACGACGUGUGUUCAGUGAAAUCGAGUAGGGCGGGACACGUGAUAUCCUGUCUGAAUAUGGGGGGACCAUCCUCCAAGGCUAAAUACUACUGACUGACCGAUAGUGAACCAGUACCGUGAGGGAAAGGCGAAAAGAACCCCUGUGAGGGGAGUGAAAUAGAACCUGAAACCGUGUACGUACAAGCAGUAGGAGCAGGCUUUGUCCUGUGACUGCGUACCUUUUGUAUAAUGGGUCAGCGACUUAUAUUCAGUGGCAAGGUUAACCAUCUAGGGGAGCCGUAGGGAAACCGAGUCUUAACUGGGCGUUCAGUCUCUGGAUAUAGACCCGAAACCAGGUGAUCUAGCCAUGGGCAGGUUGAAGGUUGAGUAACAUCAACUGGAGGACCGAACCGACUAAUGUUGAAAAAUUAGCGGAUGACUUGUGGCUAGGGGUGAAAGGCCAAUCAAACCUGGAGAUAGCUGGUUCUCCCCGAAAGCUAUUUAGGUAGCGCCUCGGACGAAUACUACUGGGGGUAGAGCACUGUUAAGGCUAGGGGGUCAUCCCGACUUACCAACCCUUUGCAAACUCCGAAUACCAGUAAGUACUAUCCGGGAGACACACGGCGGGUGCUAACGUCCGUCGUGGAGAGGGAAACAACCCAGACCGCCAGCUAAGGUCCCAAAUUACUACUAAGUGGGAAACGAUGUGGGAAGGCUCAGACAGCCAGGAUGUUGGCUUAGAAGCAGCCAUCAUUUAAAGAAAGCGUAAUAGCUCACUGGUCGAGUCGGCCUGCGCGGAAGAUGUAACGGGGCUAAGUAGUAAACCGAAGCUGCGGCAAUAUACUUUUGUAUAUUGGGUAGGGGAGCGUUCUGUAAGCGGUUGAAGGUGUGUGGUAACGCAUGCUGGACGUAUCAGAAGUGCGAAUGCUGACAUGAGUAACGAUAAAGGGGGUGAAAAACCUCCUCGCCGGAAGACCAAGGGUUCCUGUCCAACGUUAAUCGGGGCAGGGUAAGUCGACCCCUAAGGCGAGGCCGAAAGGCGUAGUCGAUGGGAAACGGGUUAAUAUUCCCGUACUUCUUACAAUUGCGAUGGGGGGACGGAGAAGGCUAGGUGGGCCUGGCGACGGUUGUCCAGGUUCAAGUGCGUAGGCUUAAGAGUUAGGUAAAUCCGGCUCUUUCUAAGGCUGAGACACGACGUCGAGCACCUACGGGUGUGAAGUCAUUGAUGCCAUGCUUCCAGGAAAAGCCUCUAAGCUUCAGAUUGUAAGGAAUCGUACCCCAAACCGACACAGGUGGUCGGGUAGAGAAUACCAAGGCGCUUGAGAGAACUCGGGUGAAGGAACUAGGCAAAAUGGUACCGUAACUUCGGGAGAAGGUACGCUCUUGAUGGUGAAGUCCCUUGCGGAUGGAGCUGACGAGAGUCGCAGAUACCAGGUGGCUGCAACUGUUUAUUAAAAACACAGCACUGUGCAAAAUCGUAAGAUGACGUAUACGGUGUGACGCCUGCCCGGUGCCGGAAGGUUAAUUGAUGGGGUUAGACUUCGGUCGAAGCUCUUGAUCGAAGCCCCGGUAAACGGCGGCCGUAACUAUAACGGUCCUAAGGUAGCGAAAUUCCUUGUCGGGUAAGUUCCGACCUGCACGAAUGGCGUAAUGAUGGCCACGCUGUCUCCACCCGAGACUCAGUGAAAUUGAAAUCGCUGUGAAGAUGCAGUGUACCCGCGGCUAGACGGAAAGACCCCGUGAACCUUUACUACAGCUUGGCACUGAACAUUGACCCUACAUGUGUAGGAUAGGUGGGAGGCUUUGAAGCACGUACGCCAGUAUGUGUGGAGCCGUCCUUGAAAUACCACCCUUGUAGUGUUGAUGUUCUAACGUCGACCCCUAAUCGGGGUUGCGGACAGUGCCUGGUGGGUAGUUUGACUGGGGCGGUCUCCUCCCAAAGAGUAACGGAGGAGCACGAAGGUGGGCUAAUCACGGUUGGACAUCGUGAGGUUAGUGCAAUGGCAUAAGCCCGCUUGACUGCGAGAAUGACAAUUCGAGCAGGUGCGAAAGCAGGUCAUAGUGAUCCGGUGGUUCUGAAUGGAAGGGCCAUCGCUCAACGGAUAAAAGGUACUCCGGGGAUAACAGGCUGAUACCGCCCAAGAGUUCAUAUCGACGGCGGUGUUUGGCACCUCGAUGUCGGCUCAUCACAUCCUGGGGCUGAAGUCGGUCCCAAGGGUAUGGCUGUUCGCCAUUUAAAGUGGUACGCGAGCUGGGUUUAGAACGUCGUGAGACAGUUCGGUCCCUAUCUGCCGUGGGCGUUGGAAGAUUGAAGGGGGCUGCUCCUAGUACGAGAGGACCGGAGUGGACGAACCUCUGGUGUUCGGGUUGUGUCGCCAGACGCAUUGCCCGGUAGCUAAGUUCGGAAUCGAUAACCGCUGAAAGCAUCUAAGCGGGAAGCGAGCCCUGAGAUGAGUCUUCCCUGAUACUUUAAGUAUCCUAAAGGGUUGUCGGAGACUACGACGUUGAUAGGUCAGGUGUGUAAGUGCUGUGAGGCAUUGAGCUAACUGAUACUAAUUGCCCGUGAGGCUUAACCAUACAACAC
rnacentral:rRNA from 1 species